AACGCACCUUGCGCUCUAUGGCAAUCCGUAGAGCAUGCCUGUUUGAGUGCCAUGAAAUCUCCCACCCCAAGCGGUUUUUAAAUGAAACGGCUUGGCGGAUGGGGUCUGGAUGGGUGCCUCUGCCUGCGCUACCUAGCACAGGCUCGCCCGAAAUGCAUGAGCGCCUUGAGACACUUUGCAUCCGCCUCUCUGUUUGGGAGGAGGCGGCCAAGCAGUGUUUUUCUCCUGGCAUGGCAUGAUACGUCAUUUGCUAUGUCGCCUAAAGGAGGAAUGUUUGGUUGUGUCUGCGUGUGCUUCAAACUUGCCUCUGUGGCACAUCCCAAUUUCACUUCUGGUCUCAAAUCAGGUAGGAUCACCCGCUGAACUUAA
rnacentral:misc_RNA from 1 species